rnacentral:rRNA from 1 species
CGGAGGGUGCAAGCGUUAUCCGGAUUCACUGGGUUUAAAGGGUGCGUAGGAGGGCAGGUAAGUCAGUGGUGAAAUCUCCAAGCUUAACUUGGAAACUGCCGUUGAUACUAUCUGUCUUGAAUAUUGUGGAGGUGAGCGGAAUAUGUCAUGUAGCGGUGAAAUGCUUAGAUAUGACAUAGAACACCAAUUGCGAAGGCAGCUCGCUACUCAAUUAUUGACUCUGAGGCACGAAAGCGUGGGGAUCAAACAGGAUUAGAUACCCUGGUAGUCCACGCCCUAAACUAUGGAUACUCGACAUACGCGAUAUACAGUGUGUGUCUGAGACGAAAGCAUUAAGUACUCCCACCGUGGGAAGUACGACCGACAAGGUUAG